rnacentral:rRNA from 1 species
AUACGGAGGGUGCAAGCGUUGUUCGGAAUCACUGGGCGUAAAGGGCGCGCAGGCGGUUUGGUAAGUCAGAUGUGAAAGCCCACGGCUCAACCGUGGAGGUGCAUUUGAAACUGUCAGACUUGAGUACUAGAGGGGAAAGUGGAAUUCCCGGUGUAGAGGUGAAAUUCGUAGAUAUCGGGAGGAAUACCGGUGGCGAAGGCGACUUUCUGGCUAGAUACUGACGCUGAGGCGCGAAAGCGUGGGGAGCAAACAGGAUUAGAAACCCGAGUAGUCC